CUCGUAGGCGGUCCGUCACGUCGGAAGUGAAAACCCGGAGCUUAACUCCGGGCCUGCUUUCGAUACGGGCGAACUUGAGUUCGGUAGGGGAGACUGGAACUCCUGGUGUAGCGGUGGAAUGCGCAGAUAUCAGGAAGAACACCAAUGGCGAAGGCAGGUCUCUGGGCCGAUACUGACGCUGAGGAGCGAAAGCGUGGGGAGCAAACA
rnacentral:rRNA from 1 species